rnacentral:rRNA from 1 species
UACGGAGGGGGCUAGCGUUAAUCGGAAUUACUGGGCGUAAAGCGCACGUAGGCGGUUUUUUAAGUCAGAUGUGAAAGCCCCGGGCUCAACCUGGGAAUUGCAUUUGAAACUGGGAAACUAGAGUGUGUGAGAGGGGGGUAGAAUUCCAAGUGUAGCGGUGAAAUGCGUAGAGAUUUGGAGGAAUACCAGUGGCGAAGGCGGCCCCCUGGCACAACACUGACGCUCAGGUGCGAAAGCGUGGGGAGCAAACAGG